CAGCCGCCGCGGUAAUACGUAGGUGGCAAGCGUUGUCCGGAAUUAUUGGGCGUAAAGGGCUCGCAGGCGGUUUCUUAAGUCUGAUGUGAAAGCCCCCGGCUCAACCGGGGAGGGUCAUUGGAAACUGGGAAACUUGAGUGCAGAAGAGGAGAGUGGAAUUCCGCGUGUAGCGGUGAAAUGCGUAGAGAUGUGGAGGAACACCAGUGGCGAAGGCGACUCUCUGGUCUGUAACUGACGCUGAGGAGCGAAAGCGUGGGGAGCGAACAGGAUUAGAUACCCCUGUAGUCCCUGUCUCUUAUAC
rnacentral:rRNA from 1 species